GGGGAAUUAGCUCAGCUGGUAGAGCACUUGCUUUGCAAGCAAGGGGUCAUCGGUUCGAAUCCGUUAUUCUCCA
rnacentral:tRNA from 1 species